UACGUAGGGUGCAAGCGUUGUCCGGAAUUAUUGGGCGUAAAGAGCUCGUAGGCGGUCUGUCGCGUCGGCUGUGAAAACUCGGGGCUCAACCCCGAGCCUGCAGUCGAUACGGGCAGACUAGAGUGCGGUAGGGGAGACUGGAAUUCCUGGUGUAGCGGUGAAAUGCGCAGAUAUCAGGAGGAACACCGGUGGCGAAGGCGGGUCUCUGGGCCGUGACUGACGCUGAGACGCGAAAGCGUGGGGAGCAAACGGG
rnacentral:rRNA from 1 species